AUGACUGUGCUUUUCUCUCUUCUUCUGUUUUUGGUGACUAAAAGGGACUCUUCUGCACAGUCAACAUCAAACAUGAUACAACCAUCAUCCUCUGAGAAACAUGUUCUUGAGGGAGAAAGUGUGACUCUCUCUUGUAACUACACUGGAACUGUAACUGUGAACUCACUCCAGUGGUAUCGACAGUAUCUCAGAUCAGCUCCAGAGUUUCUGCUUCUUGUCACUGAAUAUAAAGGCAAAUCUGAGCCUGCUCUUCGUCUGUCAUCAAACGCUACUAAAGAAGAAAAACGAGUGGAACUGGAGAUUUCUUCUGUUGCUGUUACAGACUCUGCUGUGUACUACUGCGCCCUGCAGCCCACAGUGACAGGAAACCCAACUACACUGUACAAAAACUAA